rnacentral:tRNA from 1 species
GCACUCUUGGUUUAGUGGUAAAAUCAGCGCUUCCCAUUCCAUCACACUGCGAUAGAAGAUGCGCUGGCCCCGGGUUCGAUUCCCGGAGGGUGCA